rnacentral:lncRNA from 1 species
CUCAGUUUUCUCACUCUAAAACUGGAAACUUCAUUUCUCAUUUAUAAGCAGGUUCCAACAUUCCUCUCUUCUUUUGUCUCUGAUGCUCAAACUAAUUGGGUAACUGUUAACAUGGUUUUUCUUGCUUCACAGUUCAAUUUCAAUUUGUGCUUAUUUAUGGACAAAAUUCAAUGUUGGAAACUUUUUUUCAAGAUUUUAUUUCAUAUCUUUUUUUUCUGUUUGUUUGGUUUGAUUUUGGCACCACCAAAUGGUGUCUUGUGAGCAUUGUGGGUUUGUUCUUUGUUUGUUGAUUUGUUUGUUUUUCUUGCAGAUACUGUACAGUAAUGGUCAACUUUGCCACUUGCACUGAGUUUUGGGUCAAACUUAUUUUCUUAAAUGAAGUUGUAACUUCAUAUAACUCAAGUAUACUGUAUUUCUUUGCUUUUAGUUAAGAAGUAAAACAUUUUAGCUAAUUAAAAAGCACUCAGGUGAUAAUUAUGUAGGAAAAACAAUCUUGCCAAAUAAUGAAUUCAUCCUAGGAUGUGUAAACAAUAAUCUGCUUGAAUAUUUUUAUAUUUCACCUCCUCCCCACCUUUCCCUAAGUAAAGUGUAACUGCAGAUAGAGUUCAGAACUGCUGGAUGUUCAGAUUCCUAAGUGGGGAGAGAGUUUGGACACCUUGUUGAAAAGUCCAUCAAAACAGCAGGAAUCUAUGAUUUUGUACCAGAACUCAGCAGGCAUUGGCUCCUAGAAAUCAAGGUAGAGCUGUUUUCUUGCCCAGGGAGAACAUCCCAUUCAUUUCCACACUUCAUCAGGCCUCAGCUUGCUCUUAGAAGUGUUACACAGUAGGCCUUCUCCUUUGAAGGAUAUGGCUGACCAGCCACCCCACUUUCCUGCCCAGGACUGACCUCCCAGGGCACCUCACCUGAGGGGAUGUGAGCUGCAGCCUGAAGGUCCCGCCUUUCUGGGGCAGCUCCUAUAUUGAUGCACCUCACUGAAAGUAUGAGAGAGCAGGGAAGAUUGGAGCCUGAGAUCCAUCCCUGACACAGGCGAACACGUUUCUUUCUCCUUUUCUUUUCCAAAUGCUUUGAGUUGUACUCUGAGGUUUUUCUGUGGGUCUCUUGUCUGUAGGCAGCUUCAUACAGAGGCUUUGGACAAGAUAUCAGCAGGAGCCCUCUCUACCCUCUUCACACAGACACACACACAGAUGCAGACACACACACAGAUGCAGACACACACAGACACACACACCUUACCCUCACCUGAUGAUAAUUUUCUUCUCUUGCUGCAAAAGUGGUUGCUUGCAACCCAGAGAGAGCAGCUUCCCUGGGCUCUCAGGUUGUUGUGGCCCUUGGCCAUGUUUACAGGAAGGUGUGUCACAAGGAGGAGGAAUCAGCUCCCUCCUUCCUGUGGUCCCUGUCUCCUCUUGAGGAGUAGCCCGAGGGCCACUCCCACCUGGCUGAGCAAGAGAGUCCAGAACAGUUUGAUGUGGGGCUGGGGUGGUGGGCAGUGGGGAAUAGAUGGUUGACUUUGUUUCUUUAUUUGUGCCAUUGUUUGGACAAUAUUAAAGCUGCAUGUGAAUGAAAAAAUUAGUAUAUGAUUAGUAGGCAAAAGGUGAAAUCAUAGUAACAUAUGUUUUAGUAUUAACUUUUUUCUGUACAAAUAUUAGCAGUAAAUGUUUAAAUAUGUAUGAAUGUCAGAAGUUUGUUGGUUCAUGCAGUAGGAUGGGAAAAAGGGUUUUCUUUUAAAAUAGUUCCACUUCUAAAACCUGCCUCUGGGUUUCCAUUUUUUCCUUGUGUGUGUGUAUGUGUGUGUGGUUGUCAGAGACAGAUUUUGAUGAAGCUCUGUGAGAGCUACUGUUUUUGUUUUUGGAAUUCUUAGCCUAGUAGAACAGUUCUGUGCUUCACUAAGGAGGUUCGCCUUUGUGGGAAACUGGUGACAACUAGAAUUUUAACUCAAUGUAAAUCAUGUGAUACUUCCCAGGUAUGUGUUGUGGUGGAGGAGUCAGCAGACAGUAUUUUGUUCUUUAACUCUCUUGUUGCCUUUUUAAAUGACCUCUCCUCUUCUUUAAAAAACAAAAGGAAUGUUUUCUGCUUGUAUCAUAACCAGGUGCAGAUCAGCUUCUUGGUUUGAUUUAUCCUGGUGGCAACUCAUGUGCAACUUGUAGUCUUGACCACAUUCCAUCCAUUUCCCCAGAUUUCUGUUGUUCUACAACCCAGAACUAUGUGGCAGCCAUUUCCAGGAGGGGAGGGGUCUCUUUAUUUCUCCCCACCCUAACUCAGCCCCCUUCUUCCUCCCACCAGCCUCUGCCUUUUUUUCUCUCUUUCCCCUUCCAACCCCUGCCAUGGAAACUGGCCUUUUUAAAAAGAAAAUUGCUCUAAAGGCUGUAGUUCUAUUUCUUAGAUAUUUUUAAAAAGUUAUUUCAUUCAUUAUCCACCAAGAACAGUGACCAGCUUUGUGUAAUUGUUCAUAUGACAUGUCUAUGUCUUUCUCUAUUCUGAAUCAUUGAUUGUCAAAAUUAUUUCUGGGCUGAUUGAAAGGAGGACUUGCUGGGGACCAGAAUCCAAACUGCCUCAAGUGAAAUUUAAAAACUCAAUCUGUUUCUUCUCCCUGGGAUCCCUUAGUCAACCUCAUUCCUUUUUUCUGGAGGAGAGGAGGUGGUUGCGACAGGGUCUUGCUAUGUAGACUAGGCUGGUUUUGAACUCACUAUGUAGUCCAGGCUGCCCUCAAACUCAUAGUGAUCCUCCAGCCUCAGCCUCCCAAGUGCUGUGUUUGCAGGAGUAUACCACCACACCUGGCAACCUCAUGCCUUUUGUAAAGAGGAAAAGUAAACAAAGAACAAGAAAUAAAGGACACUCCAGUCAUGGGCUGUUUAGGAGGAUCACUCUGACAACCUGGUUGGGUCUCCAAAUGGGUAGGGUAGGAAUAGUUGUUGGGUCGGGGCCAGUGCAGGCAACCCUGACCCUAAUUAACAUCCCACCUGAAUCUGGUUCUCCCCUGGGUCUGCCUUUGUUCUCCUUGUGUCUCCAGACAACCUCCGUUCAUUCAGAUUAGUCAGGCUGUGGGCAGGCGAGUGCUUUGCUAUAUGUGUUUGUUACUCUGCGUUAUUUGGGGGUGCCUUGAAUAAAAUCGAACUUCAUUACAUACUGAUUCUGGAACAAAACAGUUACAAAACUGUAAAAACUGGCAAAGUUGCUCGGCCAUCCUGCUACUUCUCUUCCGGGUUCUUCAAGAAUGACUCAGGCGUCAGAGGUGAUGCUGCCGUAGAAAACGUUAUUGUGUAUGUUGUACAAGUAAUUUAUUGACUGUCUUUCUAAAGGUAUGCUGCUUUUUAAAAUGCACUAUAAUUUUGGAUGUAAUCCUUGUAUUGCUUUUCCAAGGAUGUAAAAAGAAAGGCUAAGGACUUAGUAUGCCAACUGUCACUUCUCCUUAAAAAGGAGCUCGGGGACAGCUAUAGCACUUGCAUGAGUGAACUGGCUAAAACCUAUACUUCCUUUUAAUAUUUUGUGAUUUCCAUUAAAGAAGAAGAAAAAAAAGAAGUAUUUUUAAAUUGUAGGCCUUUUAAAAAACCUUAAUAUACCCCAGGAAGCUGCUCUGCAUCCUGUAGAGUAGCAUAAUCAUUUCAGAAUGAAUAGAGUCCUACAAACCUUUUUCAGAUCCCUAUUUGGCUACCUUUUUCUGCACAUUGUGCCCCUCUUGAACUCAGAGUUGUUUUAUAAAUGACUUCAAACUACUUACUGUUGCUUACAGUUUAGGAGGAAACACAAAUCUGGAAGGGAGCAAGAAUCAAAUUUUUCCUUAAAUUACUGAAAAUAGACUAAAGAACAAGAUUUGUUUUUCAAGUAUAAAGUUGCUCAUUGUAUCAUGAGUUAGUAUUUCUCCCCAAAAUUGAGGAUUUUUCUGUAGGUUCAAUUUCUGGAGAGUCAGUGCACAAUACAGAGUCCUGUGUGGAGUUGGUUUUCAUAAAGGAAGUCUGUGUGUAUGGAGGCAUUUUGUUUCCAAAGUGUAUGUUUAUAACACUGCCCAAGCCAUCUCAUGACACAGGCAUCAGAGACUGAUGCUGCAGAAUAGAAUACAUUUGUACACAAAUAGCAUGUUCAAAUGGUAUUUGUACAUAGAGAAGACUUAUUGUGGCAGAUCAAGAAUAAAUUAUUUAACUGACAGUGCAAAAACAUUACUUGCAAAAAAAAGUAAUUGUAUAGUAUUUUCCUAUACUCCACCCUGGGAGAUAAUAUUUAUAUCAAUGAAUAUCAGUGCAUUUUAAUUGUAAUAUGAAAAUUAUGCUGCCAUUUUGUGAAGAAUACCCACUUGGUUGCAGAGGCCAAUUUUUGUAGUUUUGAUUUAAUGUUCUGAUAUGAUGUGUACAUUUACAAGCAAUGGAUAAACAGCUCUGACUUUCAUUUUCAUUCCAGUUACUUGACAUCAGAUAAAACAGUGGCCCUUAUAAAAGCAGAAGUGCACCAAGACCAUUUCAGGUAGAGUCACAUUCAGUGCCAAAUGCUCCCAUGGGGACAGUCAGACAUAUUUAUCAGGAAAGAGUGAAGGGACUUGGAUAAAGAGGGGUUUUCCUACAGAUCAAUGUUAAGUCUUCUACCAAAACGUGUCUGGAGGCAGAAGGGUGGCUACCACUUGAGUCCUAACAAAGCAUUUUGGGUGUGCAAAUGCUGGCAUGACUGUUCACACUCUACAAGAACCUGGCACUUCUAGUGAGUUAUCAGGAAGACUGCAGAUGCAUUUGGGAGCUUCAGGUGCUUGUUAGACACAGUGAGCCAUUGAAGGCAAGAGGGCUUGUGAGAAUUUGUUCCAGAACCAGUCUAAUCCAAGUGCACCUCUGAUAUAUGCCUUACAAACUCCAGAGGCCAUACUCAAAACAGGGUCUUCUCAGUGUAUGCAAGGGGCUGCAGCCCCUCUUCUCUUCCUCCCCAGGUUGAACAAUACGGACAGUUUUCACACAUAUCUACCUGUAUAACCCUCUGUACCUCUCAUAACUGGUCAACGACUGUAACAGGUUACAUCAGGUGUUUUUCUACAUACUUUUUACACAGAUUCUAUGCGAUUAAUGUAACUUAAUUCAAUGCAUCAUUUUAUUGUACUAGUUCUUAGGCUUGUCCUUAUUUUUUUUCUAAGUGAUUGUGGUUUUUCUUGUGGUUUUUAUUGUAAAGAUGAAAUGGCUGUUGAUGCUUAUUCUCUGUAACUAAGAAUUUUUACCUUUUUGGGAAAAAAAGCAUUGCUAUGAACUAAUGAAACUUCAUUUACUCAUUGUAAAUACACUAUUGUGCAAAAAAAAUUUUCACUCAGUUGAAUUGCUAGUGUUAACUGAAUUUUGUCUAGACACCAUUUCUGUUGAUGAAAUAAAGACAUAUCAUUAUGCAUUGUAAAUUGAUUUUCUCUGCCUCUGAUCCCUGCAUUUCAGAUUAGAAAAAUGGAAAGCCUCAAAAAAUCUUUUUUCCUCAAAAGGCCAUUUUCCUUCUCUAGUUUGGAACCUAUCUUGAU